GAUGAGAACGCAGCGAAAUGCGAUAACUAAUGUGAAUUGCAGAAUUCAGUGAAUCAUCGAGUCUUUGAACGCACAUUGCGCCCCCUGGUAUUCCGGGGGGCAUGCCUGUCCGAGCGUCAUUGCUGCCCUCAAGCACGGCUUGUGUGUUGGGCUCCGUCCCCCCGGGGACGGGCCCGAAAGGCAGCGGCGGCACCGAGUCCGGUCCUCGAGCGUAUGGGGCUUUGUCACCCGCUCUGUAGGCCCGGCCGGCGCCAGCCGACAACCCAUCAUCCUUUUCAGGUUGACCUCGGAUCAGGUAGGGAUACCCGCUGAACUUAAGCAUAUCAAUAAGCGAGGA
rnacentral:misc_RNA from 1 species